AACUGCUUGUAACUGACUGUGUGUGUAACUCUCUACCUGUAACUGUGUGUAUGACUGCCUGUGACUAUAUGUGUGACUGUCUGUCUGUAACUGUGUGUGAGGGGGUGCAGAGAUUUUGUAGAGGGGGGCAGGGGUUUUACAAAGUUUACAAAUUUGUUCAAUAAAUGUUUUAAAAAAUGUAAAAAAUAUAACACAUUUUAAAAAUGUAUUCGUUUUUUUUUUUGGAGAAGCGGGGGGUGCCAAACCCAGG